CCAAAAGCUCCUAAAAUUUUAAAGCUAUAUGAUGUCAAAAGUACUGGAAAACGCAAUUUAUCAUGAUACAUAGAGUAUUUUGUUUACAUUUCAUUAUAUAUUAUUUAUAGUUGUGUAGGCCAAGUCAUAUUCACCUUUAUGAAUUCCAUUGGUAUUUUAAAUUUUAAAAGUCCAUAGUGAUACAUUUUUCAGGGUAAAACAAAAGAUUGUAUUUUAAAAAUGUAAUACAAACCCUUCUGUUACUGCCUUGAUUGCUGUGCCUUCCUAACCAGACCUCUACCUCUUGAGAGUUCAUAAACCAUAUAACAGUGUGGUGAUCACUCUUUAGAUCAUACCCAUGUGUAUACCAAGCAAUUGGUGAAUAAUGUAUACUCAGACAUACUAGUAUAAGUUACAAAUAAUUUGUAUGUGUAUAACCAUAUUUGUCAAGAAAAAUUUUUUUUUUUAUUAUAUAAGUGAUGUUUGGUGUUGGCAUUUAUCUUUUUUUGAAAAAAAUCAACUACCAUUAUGGUACCAAAAGAAGUCAAGUCCUAUUCAAAAUGAUGCUGAAUUAAAGGUGUCAGACCACUAAUUAAAAAUCCCUGGUGUCAGACCACCAAUUGAAAAUCCCUAUCUGUUCAACCAAAUUUUGCAAUUUCACAGCUUUCUAAAUAUUUUACCUUAAGUUUAACUUCAAGGAAACCAGGUAUAUCCUGAAUUGUACAUGUGUCACCUUUCUACAUGCC
rnacentral:lncRNA from 1 species